rnacentral:rRNA from 1 species
GACGAACGCUGGCGGCGUGCCUAACACAUGCAAGUCGAACGGUAAGGCAGUAAUUUGGUGCUCUGCACGAGUGGCGAACGGGUGAGUAACACGUAGGUAACCUGCCCUGGAGUUUGGGAUAACUUCAGGAAACGAUAGCUAAUACCGGAUAGCAGAAGAUGUCGCAUGGUAUGGAUUGGAAAGUUGCAGUUGUUGUGGUUGGACGUGGGGCUUAUUAGUUUGAUGGUGGUGUAGUGGUUUACCCACGCGUUGGCGGGUAGCCAGCCUGGGCGGGUGACCGGCCACAGUGUGCCUGGGGUACGGCCCAGACUGCUACGGCAGCAAGCGGUGGAGGAUAGUGCGCAAUGGGCGGAGUCCGUGUAGAACAACGCCGCGUCGGGGAUGUCUGCUGUCGGGGUAUAAACCGCUUUCGCCUGUAACGUUGCCUGAGUGACGGUAUCUUGUAAAAAAGCGCCGGCUAACUACGUG